GAUGAACGCUCGCUACAGGCUUAACACAUGCAAGUCGAGGGGAAACGACAUCGAAAGCUUGCUUUUGAUGGGCGUCGACCGGCGCACGGGUGAGUAACGCGUAUCCAACCUGCCCAUCACUUGGGAAUAACCUUGCGAAAGUAAGACUAAUACCCAAUGACAUCCCACGAAGACAUCUGAAUGGGAUUAAAGAUUUAUCGGUGAUGGAUGGGGAUGCGUCUGAUUAGCUUGUUGGCGGGGUAACGGCCCACCAAGGCAACGAUCAGUAGGGGUUCUGAGAGGAAGGUCCCCCACAUUGGAACUGAGACACGGUCCAAACUCCUACGGGAGGCAGCAGUGAGGAAGAUUGGUCAAUGGGCGAGAGCCUGAACCAGCCAAGUAGCGUGCAGGAUGACGGCCCUAUGGGUUGUAAACUGCUUUUAUAAGGGAAUAAAGUGGGUCUCGUGAGACUUUUUGCAUGUACCUUAUGAAUAAGGACCGGCUAAUUCCGUG
rnacentral:rRNA from 1 species